rnacentral:lncRNA from 1 species
GAGAAAUAUGGUAUCUUUUGAGAUCGUAAAAGCCAUGCUAGAAUAUACUAUUUUAACUAUAUGAUUUUUGCAUGAAAGGAGGCUCCUUUCAUGCAGCUUACAGUAAACACUCUAUCAGAAAGAUUCAUUAAUAUCACUAGUAAUAGUGACAGCGAUGAGCAGAUGAAUUUUACGUCAUAAAUAAACAUAUAGCUUAUUUUAUUCAAAUGGAUCUAUUCAUUCUAA